AGAGUUUGAUCCUGGCUCAGGACGAACGCUGGCGGCGUGCCUAAGGUAUGCAAGUCGAACGCGCCCGAGCUUGCUCGGGUGGCGUGGCGAACGGGUGAGUAACGCGUGGGAAUUUGCCUCCAAGUCGGGAAUAACCCCGAGAAAUCGGGGAUAAUAACCGAUGGUCCCGUAAGGGUAAAGAUUUAUCGCUUGGAGAUGAGCCCGCGUCCCAUCAGCUUGUUGGUAGGGUAAUGGCCUACCAAGGCUAUGACGGGUAGCUGGACUGAGAGGUCGGUCAGCCACAAUGGCACUGAGACAAGGGCCAUACACCUACGGGUGGCAGCAAUCGGGAAUUUUGCGCAAUGGACGAAAGUCUGACGCAGCGACGCCGCGUGAAGGAUGAAGGUCUAACGAUUGUAAACUUCUUAAUUCCCCGUUGGGGGAAGGAUAAAGCACCGGCUAACAUACGUGCCAGCAGCAGCGGUAAAACGUGGGGUGCAAGCGUUGUCCGGAUUUAUUGGGCGUAAAGGGUCCGUAGGCGUUCUGAUGUGUUCCUCGUAAAAUGCUCCGGCUCAACUGGAGACGUGCGGGGAAAACUAUCAGAAUUUGAGGAAGCUAGGGGGGUGGUGGAACCUCAUAAGGAGGGGUGAAAUCCGAUGAUCUGUGAGGGAACACCGAAGGCGAAGGCAACCACCUGGAGCUUUCCUGACGCUGAGGGACGAAAGCUAGGGUAGCGAAACGGAUUAGAUACCCGUGUAGUCCUAGCCGUAAACGAUGGGCACUAGCUAUUCCCGUAAGGGAGUGGCGUAAGCUAACGCGUUAAGUGCCCCGCCUGGGGAGUACGGCCGCAAGGCUAAAACUCAAAGGAAUUGACGGGGACCCGCACAAGCGGUGGAGCGCCUGGUUUAAUUCGAUGAUAAGCGAAGAACCUCACCAGGGUUUGACAUGCAAGUGGUAGUGAUCCGAAAGGUGAACGACCCGCAAGGGAGCUUGCACAGGUGUUGCAUGGCUGUCGUCAGCUCGUGGCGUGAGCUGUAUGGUUAAGUCCCAUAACGAGCGCAACCCCUACCGUUAGUUAAAAAUGUCUAGCGGGACUGCCCCGGCAACGGGGAGGAAGGUGGGGACGACGUCAAGUCAGCAUGGCCCUUAUGCCCUGGGCGACACAGACGCUACAAUGGCAGCUACAACGGGUUGCAAUGCGGUAACGCGGAGCUAAUCCUUCAAAAGCUGUCUCAGUUCGGAUUGGGGUCUGAAACUCGACCCCAUGAAGUUGGAAUCGCUAGUAAUGGCGGGUCAGCCAGACCGCCGUGAAUACGUUCUCGGGUCUUGUACACACCGCCCGUCAAAUGGGGAAAGUUGGAGCUAGCCGAACCUCGCUUUCGAGCGAGGGAAGCUGGAAUCAGCGAUCAACAUUAAGUCGUAACAAGGUAACC
rnacentral:rRNA from 1 species